rnacentral:lncRNA from 1 species
AAUUUUUCGACCUAGACUGGGGAAUAUUAAAUUUCCUGAAAUCUGAUGCAUCAUUAUUUAUUUAUUGAGUCAAAAGCAAACGAAGGCAUGAUAAGAUAUCAAAAGACUAUUAAUUCAGAAACAAACGUAAAUGUAACUUUAAAUAGAGAAGAUGGAUGACACUUGACACUCACAGACAGCCACACAAUGACACAACUUCACAUGUAGAAAUAUAUCCAUCACUUUUACAUAGGCACUCUUUAUUUCUACUACAUACUCUGUGGAUGCACUAGAGAACCCAGAUGAUCUUUAGAUUCCUCAAUUUUAAUUAACCAGAGAUUUCAAUGGCUUUGACAUCAGGCUUCUUCACCUCUGCCUUUGGAACAGUGACACUCAGAACCCCAUUCUCCAUUGCAGCCUUAAUCUCGUUCAACUUUGCAUUUUCAGGAAGCUGAAACCUCCUCAAGAACUUGCCGCUGCUGCGCUCCACUCUGUGCCACUUGUCGUUCUUGUCCUCCUUCUCUACGUUCCUCUCUCCGCUGAUCUGAAGCACCCUGUCGUCUUCAACCUCCACCUUCACCUCUUCUUUCUUCAGCCCCGGAAGGUCUGCCUUGAAUACGUGGGCUUCUGGGGUCUCCUUCCAGUCGAUUCUGGUGUUCAGGAUAGCUGAAUUUUCCCGGGAAAAUUCAGGGAAUGUGGAGAGUGAUGAGGAGGAAGGGAAUGGAAAAUCCUUUAAGGAUUCCCAGAGAUCGAGAGAGAAAGGGUCGAAAAUGCUGCCUCGUCGGAAGUUGGGGAUGAUCGACAUUGGAAAAAUUGAUGGGUUUUGUUUGGAUGCUGAGAAAGUUUGAGCGUCGAUUUGUAGUGGUUAGAGAAUUUCUGCUUUGCUUGAUUGGUUUGGGAAAGUAGAGGAUUGGUUGGAUAUUUAAAAGGAAGCCAAGAAUAAUCUAGUAAAGACUGGGCCUUGCAAACGCUUCUGUGAUUUUCUCUGGAAAUUCUAGGAUUGUCUAGAAUCUGUGGGCGGGGCUUCUUUGUGGGCUCAUAACACAGUUAGACGAGUGAUGGACCACUGGACUUCAAAAUUCACUCAACCUACCCAGCGCCAUUUUUGUAAAAUUUGAAAUUCACUUUUUACCCUUCAAAGAAAAUUAAAAACUAAAAAAUAAAAACCCAUGAGAUUCAAAUUGAAGGAACAUAACAUAAUAUAAAUAUAAAAACUGAAUAUGAAUCAAGAAAUGGAAUAAUUAGGUGGUCUGACAAAGUUAUUUGAGGAUUUGCAAGUUUUUCAAAUCUUAUAUAUAUAUAUAUAUUCAUUCAUGGUGUGAACUAGUGUCACGUGAAGAAUUAGCAUGAAUUGGGAAAAAAAAAUUAAAAUUUGCGAGGCUGUGUUUAGGGAAAUCCAGAUGAAAGACCCGCAAUGCAAACCAUAGUUCUCAUGCUAAGCAGUUACUCUGUUACCAUGGCAUUACCUCAAAAAGCCAGCAUUUGUUCUGCAUAGUUGAACUGAGCUGAACAUGCCAUCAUUUACAAGGACUGACUCAUCUGAUCAACCAACUAGCAAAUCAUUGUCAUUUUCUGUUAAUGAAGCCUCAAUUGCUGAAUUAUACUCGCGGGAGUCUAUAUCCAACAAAGCAUGAUCAAUCUUGCAGGACUGUACUUGGGAAGUUCUGUGAUUAUUGUUUCGUUUCUCUCUGCUUUUCAUGGUUGCUCUAGCUGUUCUGUUCUUUUGUUGGUUUAGUUAGUCUGUGGUCCAUAGGGGCUCUGUGUUGGUUUGGUUACCAUUGUAGCAUUGUAUUUCUUGGCCUUUUAGGCUUUGCUACCUCUUUUUUUCGCUUAAUCCAAUGUUUUGAUCAGAUUUGACUUUAAAAUUCGUUAAAUGGCCAGUUUGUUUAUGAAAUUAGGAUCAAAUUCAUAUUAAAAAGUAAAUUAAGAACAUAAUUAACCUGUUGCUACAUGAAUAAAUUCAUUAAUAUUUAAACCUGAGUUUGGACAGACAAAAAAAGCUUGAGUUUACCCCAAAAUUAAAGAGUUAGCCUAAGCUUUGCCUCAAAAUUAAAGAGUUAGCCUAAGACGUAUUGAAAGAGUUUAGGUAGGGUGGGUCUCAAAUCAUGAGCUGGUUGGGUAAAUAUUUUUUUUUCACUGAUUCUUAUAAAUAUUUGCCAUAUUUUCACCACUCCAAAACUCUUUUACUUAUAACCUUUAUCUCCUUCUCUCCAAUUUAUCCUCCCACGUCUCAAAAUCCAAAUUCUACACCCAAGGACAAACUCAGGAAUUUUUAUAAGAGUGGGUUAAUAUUUGUUUUUCAAUGAGUGAUUUAUAAGCCCUAUUAUUUUUUUUAAAUAGACACCAAAUCAAACACAUAUUGUCAAAAAUAUAUAUAAUAAAACAAAUAUUGCAUUGCCAAAAAAUAAAUUUACUUCUUAGGAGUGAAACGAAUUCAACAAUAUAUGAUUACAUAUCUCAUCUUUUUUUUAUAUUGGUUUAUUAUAAUAGAGACAUCACUCAUUUAUAUAUAAACCUUCGUUGUUCCGUCCUUGUCUACACCUUCACUGUUGGUGUGGAACAUCACACAUUUAUAUAUAAACAAAUUAAAUACAAUGAUUGAUCCGUAUGCAACUAUGAAAACACUUUACCUGAAUGAUCUCAAUGUUCAAAUAAAUCAAAGAUAUUUUACCUAAAAUUAUUAAUUUCCUCUAAUAUCUUAUGCGACAUUAUUUUUGUCUCAUGAAUAUAAUCUAAAAUGAUACAUAGAAGAGUUAAGAUGAUAUUGAUUUUCCUCACACAACUAUUGAAGCUGUCAAGAAAGCAAAAAAUGGAUGAAGCGAUUCAUCUUUAGGCUUCCAAUUAAACUUUAGAAAGCAAACAAAUUUCAUUAUAUUAUUUACCGUCAUGUUAAGGAGUGCGAAAAUACUGUGAGAUGUUCCUCACAAAAGUGGUAUGAAAAUUCUGAUGAUUAUGAGACUCAUGGAUCAUUGCAGUUAAAAGCUAGGUGGAUUAGGAUUAGGAUUCCCAAAUCUGCUGCUUCAUUAUUUAUUGAUUCAAGAGGAUUAGGCUUACGAAUUGGGUUAAGCAAAAGCAAACAAAGCCCAUGAUAAGAUAUCAAAGCGAAAAAGUAAAUGUAAUUUUAGAUAAGGUCGAACACAAGAAAUCUUAGGAUCACAAUGCAAUAUAAUUUGAAGUUUAAUGCCACUCAAAAAGUUUCAAACACAAGAAAGCAUUUUACUAAGACAUGAAACCUGAAAAGCAACACAUACAAUUCAGAACAGGAACCAGGCAAAGCCUCAAAAACGCAAAACACAAAUUAGAAAAAUUACAAUCAUGAUGGCAAUUAUGUUACAAGAAAUCACUCAUUACAUUGAUGACAAUUGACACUCCAAAAUCAAACAAAGAAAUACAUAAUGUGAAAUUCAGUAGAGAAUACAAAGACGAUAUUAACCAGAGAUUUCAGAGGCUUUGGCAUCAGGCUUCUUCGGAUUUUUCAAAUUUUUUCAAAAAGAAAUACCGGCUAUACUCGGUCUUUUCAAAUUUCAUUGAUAUCAACAUUCAUGACAACUGACUCUCUAAAAUCAAACGUAGAAGUACAUAAUGUGAAGGGCAUAUGCAGUAGAGAAUACAGAGACGAUAUUAACCAGAUAUUUCAAUGGCUUUGACAUCAGGCUUCUUCACCUCUGCCUUUGGAACAGUGACACUCAGAACCCCAUUCUCCAUUGCAGCCUUAAUCUCGUCCACCUUUGCAUUCUCAGGAAGCUGAAACCUCCUCAAGAACUUGCCGCUGCUGCGCUCCACUCUGUGCCACUUGUCGUUCUUGUCCUCCAUCUCUACGUUCCUCUCUCCGCUGAUCUGAAGAACCCUGUCGUCUGCAACCUCCACCUUCACCUCUUCUUUCUUCAGCCCCGGGAGGUCUGCCUUGAACACGUGGGCUUCUGGGGUCUCCUUCCAGUCGAUUCUGGGGUUCAGGAAAGUUGAUUUUUCCAGAGAAAAUUCAGGGAAUGUGGAAAGUGAUGAGGGGGAAGGGAAUGGAAAAUCCUUUAAGGAGUCCCAGAGAUCGAGAGAGAAAGGGUCAAAAAUGCUGCCUCGUCGGAAGCUGGGGAUGAUCGACAUUGGAAAAAUUGAUAGGUUUUGUUUGGAUGCUGAGAAAGUUUGAGAAUUGUUGCUUUGCUUGACUGGUUGGGAAAGCAGAUGAUUGAAUGCGUAUUUAUACGGGGCCGAAGAGUUUUCUAGAAUAGACUGGGCCUUGCGUGUUUGUAUGGAUUUCUCUCAAACUUUCUAGGAUUCUCAGGUGGAUUCUUUGUGGGCUCGUAACAGUUGAUGAGUGAUGCACCACCUGGAUGACGUAAGAGUUGGAAAAAGAACCGGUGAACCAGUUAAACCCGGGUGCGGUCCAGUCAUGUCCUAUUUACUUCCAAAAUUAAUCGUCAAACUAAAUAAAAUAAUCUGUUUGAUUUGGUUUCCAUUAAGUACAACCCGUUUUAUUCGGUUUGGGUUUCGUUAGGCUUGUCCCAUCAUUACUUGAUGCCCAAAAGUGAUACUCAACUUCCCUAAAUUAAUUAAUCAAAAAAUUCAUAGAGAAAAAAAGAAAUGGAUGAUGGUGUUGGAAGCAUGGAUUGAGGAUAUGAGGGAGGGAGAUGAAGGAAGUUGAGACCGUGAUGAAGAUGAGGGAGGCUAUAAUUUUGGUAUUAAAUUCAUAAUAAGAAUGAGUUAUAUAUAUCAAUAUAUUGGUAGACAUUAUAUACUCGGUCCAAUUUUGUUUUUAAGUGGCAAAAUCAAGAACCGAACCGGUUCAAGCCAAAACCAAUUUUUUUAGUUUUUUUCGAUCUAGUUUGGUUCAACUUAUCGAUUUUCCAGUUCAAAUUCUCACCCAUAUAACCCAAUUUAGUUGCACUUUCACUUCCUUUAAGAUUGAGAGAACCGAAUUGAAACGGUCCUUGCUCUUCUUUUUUUUUUUUCUUUUUUUUUGUGUGUACAAAUAACUUAUAACUCAAGUGAUUAAAAGUAGUUAUUCUUGCACCCAAAAUCGUGUUUUGAAUCCCCCUCUCCAAUAUCACUUAUAUGAAACAAAAACAAAAUCUACUUAUAUCUUGUAUAAACCAUUUCAUAUGCCAUUUAAAUUCCCCACUAAAAUAACCAAAUUUAACCAUAAAGCAUUGAGGCAUUUCACACCUCCCUAUUAUACCUACAUUCCCAUAUAGAGUACUCGCUUCCUCAUUUGUGCCCGUCUAGUUAUUUUUCCUUUUUCAUUUUUUCAACAUGUAGCCCAAUUACAAUCAAAAUAUUCACAACUUGAUACCCUUUUCUUCUCUUCAUUUUCUAGUGUAUCAAACCAUACUAAAAUUCAUCAUACCAUAAAACUUCAAAGUUCAAUAACUAAUAUAGCUACAAUUCAAAUAUCAAUAACUUCAAAGUUUCAUGAAACUUCAAAUUCAAUAUUCAUAUCUAGUGAUUAUCCAAUCAAAGUUCAAUUCAAAUAUCAUUUUUAUAUAUAAUAAAAAUGAACAUAUACAUAAGCAGACAAUCUGAUACAGUUUAAGUCAAUUUGCAAAAGCUCAAAAUCAAACCGAACUAAAUCAUUUAUAGUUCAAAUAAGUUUUUAAAGUUUUUGACUUUUUCUUGAUAAAAACCAAAUCAAACAAAACUAGUAAUUUCGGUUUGAUUUGACUGGUUUAGUCGAUUCACCCAAAGUGACCUAAGAGUUUGCUUAUGGCUAGUAGGGAGUCAACGACUUUGAAAAGUAGCAUGUCUUACGUUUAUGGCUCUCCUAUUUCAGUUUCCCUUUUCUUAGAGGUUGUAAGUGUUUCUUUUCUUGUUGGUAUCCAUUUUUUCAUUGUGGUUUGGGCCAUUUUCUCAUUGUAUCUCAUAAGUCUACAUUUAUGUUUCCUUUCUUGCUGAUAUGGCAACGUACAGUUUCAUGCCAGAAAUCAGAUUGAGAUGCAUCAUUGACCUGAAAUUAAAAUUGAAGUUCAUAUAAUAAUUUACUAAAAAUAAAAUUUACUAGAAUUAUCUCAAUCUUUAAAGAAAUCAAAGAGACUUUACCUGAAAUUGUUAGUUUCCUCUAAUAUCUUAUGUAAAAUUUGUCUUUUGAAUAUAAUCUCAAAUGAUAGAUAGAGGAGUUAAGAUGAUAUUCAUCUUCCUCACACAACUAUUGAAGCUGUAAGAAAGCAAUAAUCAAUAUUAAUGUUGGGAAGCAAAGUUUUUAUUAUUAUUUUUUGCCGUCAUAUUAAGGACAUGAGUGCAAACAUACUGUGAGAUGUUCCUCACAAAAGUGGUAUGACAAGUUGGAUAAAUCAUGAGAUUUAUUCAUGUCAAUUGCACAUAUUUGAGAAAAACUUAUGUGUUUUAAUAUCAACAAUCCUUGAAUUUAUGUCUGAGUUGGAGGAUGGAAAUUUAAAAACAAAUUAGAUGACCAAAAUAAAUGCUUUUUAACGGCAAUAGUCCUUGACUUUAUAUCCGAACUGCAGGAGAAAUUAUGCAAUAGUAUCGUAGCACAGAUGAUGUGGUGCUACGGCCCAGUAGUUUUUUGACACGCAAUAAAACUUUAACAUGUCAGAAUUAAACUUAAAUGAAGUUGUAAUGUUAGGCAACGUUGUUUGACGGUUUAACCCCAUUUGCGUUUAACCCGAGUAGAUUCUUCUUUGAAGCUAAUCCCUAAUUGAAAUAUCUGAUAAUUCGUUGAAGCUCCUCAAAUUUAUCGCUUAUUCUCAAUCUUCUGAGGUGUUUGUGCAAUCUGCAGUCGGGUUCGAAAAAUCCUAACAUUCAAUCAGUUGUUCAUUUACAAGGCUAAGGAAGGACGGGCUGUGAUGGAAACCACUUUGUUUUGUUUUUUUCCAGACCAGCCGCUGCAAAGCACCACGACGACCACCUUGACUUCGUCGACAACCACAUUCAGAUCUUGAUUCCACCCAAAACAAUAUGAUAUCGUUUUCGAUUACUAAAGAAAAAGAAACAACAAUGAAAUAAUCAAUCAAAACAAUCACAAUUUUGAACUGUGAAGAGCUUUUUCAAAUUUUCAAAUUUUGAAUUGUCAAAAACAACCCCAUCUAGCCGUGCGGAUAUAGUCGGAUUUUGCAAAUUUUUAAUAAAUUUCCCCAAUAGAAAAAAUAGUACAACCAUCCGACUAUAUUAGGAUUUUCAAAUUUUUUAAUAAAUUUUCUCCAAAAAAAAUAAUAUAGCCGAACAAUUAUACGCUGUUUUAGAAUUUCUUUUACUAUUAGUUAAGUUGCUCGGCUUUACUGGGCUCUAUUUUUAUAUUUUUUAUUAGUAAAUCGUUAAAAGAAAUAAUAUAACCACACAGUUGUACCCGUCUCUUUUUUAAUACAUACCUUUUGUAAUAUAGCCGUCCGGCGAUACUCGGAUUUUUCAAAUUUUGUUUGUACAGCCGAACAGCCAUACUUGGGUUUUCCUAAUUUUUCAAAAUAGAAAUAGUAUAGCCGGUCGGCUAUACUCUGAUUUUUCAAAUUUUUUUAAAAUGAAUUAUAUGACCACAAUAAAACUUGGAUAUAAUUCAUUAAUCAUUGCGAUUACAAACUAGGUGACUGUGAUUGCUCAGUUAGGCACAUCUUUCCUGAACAGAACUGUACUGCGGAUGCUUUGAUCCUGGUCUGCAGAUUUUUGACAUGGCGUCAGCCUCCCUUGUGGAUAUUCUCGCUGCUGAUGCCUGUGGUGCUCCCAGGCCCCGUUUCUUAGUGCUCAGUUGUUUUCUUUGCCUAAAAAACCAAACACAAAUUACCAAAAUUACGAUCUAUUUAUUAAAUUAAAAACCAACAAGUUACAAGCCAUUAUGUUACAACCACUCACACUCAUUUCAUUGAUAUCAACAUUCCAAAUUCAAACAUAGAAAUACAUAAUGUGAAGUGCAUGCAGUAGAGAAUACAGGGACGAUAUUAACCAGAGAUUUCAAUGGCUUUGACAUCAGCCUUCUUCACCUCAGCCUUUGGCACAGUGACACUCAGAACCCCAUUCUCCAUUGCAGCCUUAGUCUCGUCCAACUUUGCGUUUUCAGGAAGCUGAAACCUCCUCAAGAACUUGCCGCUGCUGCGCUCCACUCUGUGCCACUUGUCGUUCUUGUCCUCCUUCUCUACGUUCCUCUCUCCGCUGAUCUGAAGCACCCUGUUGUCUUCAACCUCCACCUUCACCUCUUCUUUCUUCAUCCCCGGAAGGUCUGCCUUGAACAAGUGGGCUUCCGGGGUCUCCUUCCAGUCGAUCCUCGUGUUCAGGAAAGCUGAAUUUUCCCGAGAAAAUUCAGGGAAUGUGGAGAGUGAUGAAGAGGAAGGGAAUGGGAAAUCCUUGAAUGGGUCCCAGACAUCGAGAGAGGAAGGGUCGAAAAUGCUGCCUCGUCGGAAGCUGGGAAUGAUCGACAUUGGAAAAAUUGAUGGGCUUUGUUUGGAUGCUAAGAAAGUUUGAGAAUUUGAAUCGUUAAAGAGAAUUGCUGCUUUGCUUGAUUGGUUUC